rnacentral:piRNA from 1 species
UUCAUAAAGAGACUUUGAGAAGUGUCCCU